GCUGCCGUGCAACAAGGGGAAGGCGUGCCGGUUCAAGCGCAGCUGCUUCAGCGAGGAGGACGACGCCGCGUCGGCCGCCAUGCUGCUGCUCGCCUGCGUCGUCUGCGCCCCCAUCCCUCUGAUUAAUUAAUUAAUUAAUUAUCCAUUAGUGAUUACUCCAUCUAGCUACUUAAUUAAUCCCAGUCACACUUCGAGGCUGCUGGCAAAAUCUCUUGUAGUAUUUAAUUAAUGUGCGUGUGUCUUGUGUUGUACUAGUAACUAAAUGUUGAUAAAUAUUAAUAUAAUUCGUCCCCUCCAUCAAAAAUAUCUGUUCACCUCACCUAUGGAUGGUUUAUUCAUUUUUUCUGCCAUUAGUUUGUGAAAUUAUAGUCAGCAUUAUGCACAAUUACAUGCUGAUGCUUGAUUAUAUAUAUAAAAAAAUUGCUGAGUUGUGCACCUAUGCAAAAAAAAAACAAAACAAAACAAAUGGUGUCCAACUGCAUGCUUAGUACAGUGCCCAACUGCCCAUUGGGCCUCAGUAAUGCUUGAAGCUUGCUGGACCCAUGCUUGGGGGAAGACAUAGGCUCAGCCUUGUUUUGGGUUUCGGCCCAGUAAACUCUAUGAGAUCAAAUUGAAAUGGGCUUCUGUGUUCAAGAGAUUCAGGAUUAAAUUACUGUACAACAUGGACGCAAAAAAAUGUUUAUAUUAAAUCAAAGUUGAAGAGAAAUACUUUGCUAAAUUUAUCCCUAUAAAAUUUCUACUACACCUACUGUCGGUGUAGUAUAAUAAAAUCAGAUCCUUCGAUCUAAAGCAACGGAUGACUCAUAAUCAUUCGACGGUAUGUUAAAAAAAUCCUAGAAAAAAAACAUAUGUGCAG
rnacentral:lncRNA from 1 species